CAUGCCCCUUAUACGCUGGGCUACACACGUGCUACAAUGGGUAGAACAGAGAGUCGCAAAGCUGUGAAGUGGAGCUAAUCUCAGAAAACUAUUCUUAGUUCGGAUUGUACUCUGCAACUCGAGUACAUGAAGUUGGAAUCGCUAGUAAUCGCGAAUCAGCAAUGUCGCGGUGAAUACGUUCUCGGGUCUUGUACACACCGCCCGUCACACCACGAGAGUUGGUUGCACCUGAAGUAGCAGGCCUAACCGUAAGGAGGGAUGCUCCGAGGGUGUGAUUAGCGAUUGGGGUGAAGUCGUAACAAGGUAUCCGUACGGGAACGUGCGGAUGGAUCACCUCCUUUCUAAGGAGUAUAAGUCUUUCUCUAUUCUAUUGGUAAUGUUCUUUACAUUACUUCUGAACAUUGGAAACUAUAUAGUAGAACAAACAAGAAAAAAAUUAACUCUAACAAUUUCUUAGAGUUAGCUGUCAAAAAAUAGGUUAAAAUAAUUAAGGGCACACAAAGGAUGCCUAGGUAGUAAGAGCCGAUGAAGGACGUGGUAAGCUGCGAUAAGCC
rnacentral:sRNA from 1 species